UACAAAUAAUAGUAAAGAUAUUUACAUAUAAAUAAAAUAUGGAUAUGUAUAUAUGUACAUAUUUUAUAUUGUAACUUGAUGCUGUGGGAUAUGUGUAAACAUCAAAACAUUACCGAUUUAAUGAGGGAAAUCUACAAAACUAUUACCUCAUACGGUUACCUGUUUUUAUGAGUAUGUGUGUGUGUGUGCAUUUCUGUCUGUGUUGGUGUGCUAAGAGUGUCUGCUCACUUAAGCAGGAAUCCUAUGCCCACCUGUGGUCUUCCUGUUGGACUUCAGCUCUCUCGCCUUGUUCAUCCCACAGUGAAUAAUACUGUUUCCUACAAGAGCAUAACCAAAGUUUAUUGCCACUAGACAGUGUGUGUAUUUUAUUUCCUGAGCUUGGAAUGUGUUUAUUUCCUUGGUUGGAUUGGCCUUGUACUAAUUAACUUCUCCCCUUCAUUCUGUAGGUUCUCUCAUGCUGGCUAGUUGUGUGCUAUGCAGCAUGGAUAUUAAAUAAUACCAUCUGUGCCAUAUUUUGGGAAAUAUCUUUUGUUUACCUUAGUGACUUUAAUUUCUUUUUCUUUUUGGAAGAGAGUUACAUUUCCUGAAGAGAAAUUGUUAGUGAAUUUGAACUUGGGUUUCUUCGAAAUUAUUUAUUUGCUACUUACUAAGAACUUCCUCCACAAGUAUUAUCCAGUACUUUAUUUUGAUUAUGUUAUUUCUGUGAUUCAUUUGAGUAGUUUUUCACUUUUGCUUACUUGGUGUUUCCUUUUGCCUACCAUUUAAGGGCAAUGCAAACGAACUUAUCUCUAAAUUGUGAUUCAACUGCAUACAGUAGCCAGCUAAAUAAGCACUAAGUGUUCCAGUUCAGUUUGAUGCUUUCUUUCUUUAAAGUAAUUUAUCAUUUUUAAGAAAAUUUUAAUGAUUUGUUUGCUUUUAUUUUGCAUGUAUGAGUGCUUGUCAGCUUGUAUAUCUGUGUACUACAUGCUUGCCCAGCGCCUUCAGGGACAGAAGAGGGCAUCUGAUCCUCUGGAACUGGAAUUAUGUACAGUUCAGGUGCCAACUCUUCUGAUGAGAGGAAAUGUUUAUAGUGUCCACCUCCAGAAAUGCUUGUGAUGAGAAGAAUAACAUGGACAGCAAAGGGCAUGGGAAAGAAGGGCACCUGGGCCACCUCCCAGGGCACAAUUCCAUGGGCAAAGCUUCUAAGAGUUAGAAAUAUGGAGCAGUCUUACAUAGAAAUCCUCCUAUCACACACUACACAGUUUGCAAAAAUGUAGACUGGACCUCUCACCCAAGUACAAAAUGCCUUUGGAUGGAAGUAGUUUAAAGAAAAAAAAUAAAGAAAGCCUUGCCAACAAUUGCCUGGUUGCCUAGUUUGGAGGGAUGUUCUCAAACAAGAUUGGUCAGCUGAGCUGCUGGAACUGAUUGUGUGGAUGUAGCAUUCUUUACUUUGAUGAUUCAUUUUCUUAUCUAAAUUAAAAAUUCUUAGUAAUCCC